rnacentral:lncRNA from 1 species
GACAGCACUGUAGCUGGUCAGAGAGAGAGAGACCAUUGACUCCCUCGCAGAUGACAUCGGAGCACAGACAAGGGACAAGAUCCGGAGUGAUACGGGCUACUGUAGAAACAGGGCCAUGAGCCACAGACUAACCUGGAAACCAGACCAGGGCCCAGCUUGUCAGCGAGGGGACAGAUAAUGGACUCCCUGAGCCUCCCUGAGCCGUGGCAUCAAGCUAGCCACCCACAGUGCAGUCCUGGCUAUUAAGAGGCACAAACUUGGAACACGUGGGAGACCUUGUUACCUACGGACAAACCUUGAUCUACAUCUGUAUUGCCAAUUACUUGCUCAACAAACCUGUUACUUUUUUGGAAAUAAUAAAUAAUUCAGGGGAAAAUCA